GUGGGGAAUCUUGCGCAAUGGGCGAAAGCCUGACGCAGCCAUGCCGCGUGAAUGAUGAAGGUCUUAGGAUUGUAAAAUUCUUUCACCGGGGACGAUAAUGACGGUACCCGGAGAAGAAGCUCCGGCUAACUUCGUGCCAGCAGCCGCGGUAAUACGAAGGGGGCUAGCGUUGCUCGGAAUUACUGGGCGUAAAGGGCGCGUAGGCGGACAGCUUAGUCAGAGGUGAAAGCCCAGGACUCAACCUUGGAAUUGCCUUUGAUACUGGCUGUCUUGAGUUUGGGAGAGGUGAGUGGAACUCCGAGUGUAGAGGUGAAAUUCGUAGAUAUUCGGAAGAACACCAGUGGCGAAGGCGACUCACUGGCCCAAUACUGACGCUGAGGCGCGAAAGCGUGGGGAGCAAACAGGAUUAGAAACCCCUGUAGUCC
rnacentral:rRNA from 1 species